rnacentral:rRNA from 1 species
GGUGGGCGACUCUAAGGAGACUGCCGGUGACAAACCGGAGGAAGGUGGGGAGUGACGUCAAGUCAUCAUGGCCCUUACGGCCUGGGCUACACACGUGCUACAAUGGUCGGUACAAAGGGUUGCCAAGCCGCGAGGUGGAGCUAAUCCCAUAAAACCGAUCGUAGUCCGGAUCGCAGUCUGCAACUCGACUGCGUGAAGUCGGAAUCGCUAGUAAUCGUGAAUCAGAAUGUCACGGUGAAUACGUUCCCGGGCCUU